GAGCCCCUCUCUGCUCUCCAG
rnacentral:miRNA from 1 species